AUUGAACGCUGGCGGCAUGCCUUACACAUGCAAGUCGAACGGUAACAGGUCUUCGGAUGCUGACGAGUGGCGAACGGGUGAGUAAUGCAUCGGAACGUGCCCAGUUGUGGGGGAUAACUGCUCGAAGGAGCAGCUAAUACCGCAUACGACCUGAGGGUGAAAGCGGGGGAUCGCAAGACCUCGCGCAAUUGGAGCGGCCGAUGUCAGAUUAGGUAGUUGGUGGGGUAAAGGCCUACCAAGCCGACGAUCUGUAGUUGGUCUGGGAGGACGGCCAGCCACACUGGGACUGAGACACGGCCCAGACUCCUACGGGAGGCAGCAGUGGGGAAUUUUGGACAAUGGGCGCAAGCCUGAUCCAGCAAUGCCGCGUGCAGGAAGAAGGCCUUCGGGUUGUAAACUGCUUUUGUCAGGGAAGAAAUCCUCUGGGUUAAUACCCCGGGGGGAUGACGGUACCUGAAGAAUAAGCACCGGCUAACUACGUGCCAGCCGCCGCAGUAAAAC
rnacentral:rRNA from 1 species